UACGGAGGGUGCAAGCGUUAAUCGGAAUUACUGGGCGUAAAGCGUGCGCAGGCGGUUUUGUAAGUCCGAUGUGAAAUCCCCGGGCUUAACCUGGGAAUGGCAUUUGGGACUGCAAGGCUUGAGUGCGGCAGAGGAGACUAGAAUUCCUGGUGUAGCAGUGAAAUGCGUAGAUAUCAGGAGGAAUACCGAUGGCGAAGGCAGGUCUCUGGGCUGACACUGACGCUCAUGCACGAAAGCGUGGGGAGCAAACAGG
rnacentral:rRNA from 1 species